rnacentral:rRNA from 1 species
AUGAUGCCCAGCUUGCUGGGCGGAUUAGUGGCGAACGGGUGAGUAAUACGUGAGUAACCUGCCCUUGACUCUGGGAUAAGCCUGGGAAACUGGGUCUAAUACUGGAUACUACCGUCCACCGCAUGGUGGGUGGUGGAAAGGGUUUUACUGGUUUUGGAUGGGCUCACGGCCUAUCAGCUUGUUGGUGGGGUAAUGGCUCACCAAGGCGACGACGGGUAGCCGGCCUGAGAGGGUGACCGGCCACACUGGGACUGAGACACGGCCCAGACUCCUACGGGAGGCAGCAGUGGGGAAUAUUGCACAAUGGGCGGAAGCCUGAUGCAGCGACGCCGCGUGAGGGAUGACGGCCUUCGGGUUGUAAACCUCUUUCAGUAGGGAAGAAGCGAGAGUGACGGUACCUGCAGAAGAAGCGCCGGCUAACUACGUGCCAGCAGCCGCGGUAAUACGUAGGGCGCAAGCGUUGUCCGGAAUUAUUGGGCGUAAAGAGCUCGUAGGCGGUUUGUCGCGUCUGCUGUGAAAGCCCGGGGCUCAACCCCGGGUCUGCAGUGGGUACGGGCAGACUAGAGUGCAGUAGGGGAGACUGGAAUUCCUGGUGUAGCGGUGAAAUGCGCAGAUAUCAGGAGGAACACCGAUGGCGAAGGCAGGUCUCUGGGCUGUUACUGACGCUGAGGAGCGAAAGCAUGGGGAGCGAACAGGAUUAGAUACCCUGGUAGUCCAUGCCGUAAACGUUGGGCACUAGGUGUGGGGGACAUUCCACGUUUUCCGCGCCGUAGCUAACGCAUUAAGUGCCCCGCCUGGGGAGUACGGCCGCAAGGCUAAAACUCAAAGGAAUUGACGGGGGCCCGCACAAGCGGCGGAGCAUGCGGAUUAAUUCGAUGCAACGCGAAGAACCUUACCAAGGCUUGACAUUCACCGGACCGCCCCAGAGAUGGGGUUUCCCUUCGGGGCUGGUGGACAGGUGGUGCAUGGUUGUCGUCAGCUCGUGUCGUGAGAUGUUGGGUUAAGUCCCGCAACGAGCGCAACCCUCGUUCUAUGUUGCCAGCACGUGAUGGUGGGGACUCAUAGGAGACUGCCGGGGUCAACUCGGAGGAAGGUGGGGAUGACGUCAAAUCAUCAUGCCCCUUAUGUCUUGGGCUUCACGCAUGCUACAAUGGCCGGUACAAAGGGUUGCGAUACUGUGAGGUGGAGCUAAUCCCAAAAAGCCGGUCUCAGUUCGGAUUGAGGUCUGCAACUCGACCUCAUGAAGUCGGAGUCGCUAGUAAUCGCAGAUCAGCAACGCUGCGGUGAAUACGUUCCCGGGCCUUGUACACACCGCCCGUCAAGUCACGAAAGUUGGUAACACCCGAAGCCGGUGGCCUAAC